AACGAACGCUGGCGGCAGGCCUAACACAUGCAAGUCGAGCGGACCUUUCGGGGUCAGCGGCGGACGGGUGAGUAACGCGUGGGAAUAUGCCCUUCUCUACGGAAUAGUUCUGGGAAACUGGGGGUAAUACCGUAUACGCCCUUUGGGGGAAAGAUUUAUCGGGGAAGGAUUAGCCCGCGUUGGAUUAGGUAGUUGGUGGGGUAAUGGCCUACCAAGCCGACGAUCCAUAGCUGGUUUGAGAGGAUGAUCAGCCACACUGGGACUGAGACACGGCCCAGACUCCUACGGGAGGCAGCAGUGGGUAAUCUUAGACAAUGGGGGCAACCCUGAUCUAGCCAUGCCGCGUGAGUGAUGAAGGCCUUAGGGUUGUAAAGCUCUUUCAGCUGGGAAGAUAAUGACGGUACCAGCAGAAGAAGCCCCGGCUAACUCCGUG
rnacentral:rRNA from 1 species